CUUAAGGCUUUUGGCUUGGGCUGUGACUGGAGACGCACAUUUGUUACCACAGAUAUAAACCCAUACUUUGAUUCUUUUGUACAGUGGCAGAUGAGGGGUAAGAUUGUCAAAGAUUUGCGUUACACAAUUUACUCUCCCUUGGAUGGCCAGCCAUGUGCAGAUCAUGACAGGGCAAGUGGUGAAGGAGUGCAGCCCCAAGAAUAUACCCUUAUCAAGAUGGAGGUGUUACCACCUUUACCUGCCAAACUGGGGCGUUUAGAAGGGAAAAAAGUGUUUCUAGCUGCAGCUACGUUGAGACCUGAGACGAUGUAUGGACAAACAAAUGCUUGGGUCUUGCCUGAUGGUAAAUAUGGAGCUUUUGAAAUCAAUGAAACAGAUGUGUUCAUCCUCACAGAGAGAGCAGCCCUCAACCUUGCCUAUCAAAACUUCUCAAGGUUCCCUCAGAAACCUAGUUGCUUGGUUGAGCUAGCUGGUUAUGAUCUGAUUGGUCUUGGCUUGAAGUCUCCACUUUCUUUCAAUGA
rnacentral:misc_RNA from 1 species